CCGUUUAAUAAUCACUUUGAGCAAACAACACCAACAGAAAAAAAAAAAAAAAAGUCAAAUGAGAGAUUUUUAUUUUUUAAUAGAAAUGAGAGAGAAUUCCUUGGAAAGGAAACGCAAAAAAAUCUAUAACUUAGAACUAGCAGAAAAGCCUUAAUUAGUCAAGCAGUUGGGUUUGCGCUUGGGCUUGGGCUGUCCGUUUGCAUAUUCAGAAUUGUACAACCAAUUAUGGCACAAUGUACAAGUAACUAUUGCAUCCUGAACAACAUUAUGAACUGACUUAGCAAACAGGGCAUGCACCUCUCCCUAGACUGGUGGAAACUUCUUCUAAAAUUUCUAUAACAGCACCAAAUGAAGGCCUUGGAUUAGGAUCUUUGCUUAUGCAAUCUUCUAUCAGUCUGCAAAAAAAAUAAUAAUAAUGCAUGUUAAUUACAUUUCCUACAAAAGGUAAAACUUAUUUUAAUUGAGUUAUGGUGCAUUUAUUUGGAUUAAAUUCUGAACCCUAAAUCUG
rnacentral:lncRNA from 1 species